CUUCAGUGCAUGCAUGCAUAGAUACGGAUACGAUGCUCUGUGAUGCAUGCGCCCUUAUUGAUAGACUGGCUAGGCUAGUUAGUCUGGCCACGCCCUCCCAUACUUCUUGUCGAGACUAAGAGUGGCAGUGACACAGCUACAAGACACGCUCUUUUCCUAUUCUAUCUCGAUCCAAUGCUGAAUCAGCAAGCCACGUGGUGCCUCUGGAGAAACAACAAAUCACUUUUAAUUUUUAAGCAUGGAGCCAGUUAAAUUGCCACAUCUGUAUUUGGUGGAUGCUUUGUCCAGUCCUACUGUGGGCCAUAGUGACAUAGCCAGGACCAUGGAGAGAGACCAUUGCUGAGGAGGUGGGGAGGGCAAGUUCCUGGUCAAUCAGAUGAUCUUACAUGACAAAGCUGCUCGUAAAGAUGCAGAGUCUGAUGACAAACUCAGGAUGAUGAACCUGAGGAUUUGUACAAAACAGGUGAGGUGGACUUUGACCCCAACUAUGAGAGUUUACUAGCGGAGCUCCACCUAGCAACCAGCGGUAGCAACGCACCUGGAGUGGAUCAGAUACAAUGAGAAACUAAUACUGGAGAAUUAUGCGGCCAUUUUUCAGCCCGGCCAAGUGUUGAGGAGACAAGAAGAGGCACUGAGAAUGGAGGUAGAGGCCUACUAUGCUGCUAAGAGAGGGGUCUCACGUAAACUGGCCACUCAGACGCUAACAGACCUCAGCAGUAUGGAAAAGGGUCUGUCAUCAGAGACUACAAACUGCCCAGCCCUUACAUGCAGCCCACCUCCAGUCUGGUGAGCAGCCUAUAAGCAGUGAGGGACAGUCUGAAGACAUGGGUCCAUGGACAGGGGCUACUGAGGAACAUCCAAGAGAUACUACACGUAGGAACAGAGCCGACCGACGUGGAGACGGUUACUAUCGCUACUGAAGAGGUGGUACCCAGUUCACAGUUUGAGAUAGAGAUAAGUCAGAGUGAUGAUGGGGAGAGUGUGGAGCAGCUACAGGCCAGUGACUUGGACCCUAACUUUGGCCUUGUGCAUGAUACCCAGGAGGUCCACACGCUCACUAGCGAUGAUGGUUUGCCCUCUGACAUGACCUCUGAGGAUGGCUCCACCCUCAACGCUAUAGGCCACGCCCUCAUUCAGAUGCAGCAAGGUGGACAGACCACCCCCUCAUCUCAGUUCCUCAUCACUAGGAGCACCUCAUCUGGUUCAGAGUCUGGCCAAAAUGGUGAGUAAUGGAGGCCAAAUUUAUCAGUGUGACGAUACAUUUUUGGGGGCAAAUCCAAAAUUAUAUAUAGGCUUCGAUAAGUUAUCCAAGUGCUUGUACUUACUAAUUACAUGUAGAACCAUGAGUAUUAUUGCUAAUGUUUGAGGUUUCUUGGAAGUGGUGUUGAAAAAUGUUAAUAGUCAGUUUUUAUAUGUUGUUGUGUGUGUUGAGGUCCUCUGUAUGUGAUGAUCCCACCAUCCAGUAGUGCUGAGAUACUGCAUGCAAUGGGUCGACCUAUAGCACCCAAGAUGAGCGGGAUAUCAACUAUGGAUUAUCACACGGCCGACCCCAUCGUUCAAAUGCAGUUGUCUGGGGAUAUGGCCGCCAACAGGGAAGCUCAAAGGAAGGCUACACACAAUGAAGGUGCUGCAAAUUCAAUACUGAAAGUUAUAGUGUACAACAGAUGUACAUGUACUUACGUAGUCAUAAUCACAUUUCCCACAAAAUACAAAUUUGUCACUUCUAAAACUAAUAACUUAUUUGCUGUGUGGGGGCUAUCCAUCCAUGCUGUAAACGUCUAAGUAUGCCUUGAUUUUCAUUUUAUACUGUACAGUAGGUGUGUGUGUGUGUGUGUGUGUGUGUGUGUGUGAGGUCAAGAUUCAUUUAUUUUGCCAAUUGGCUCAGCUUCAUUGUACAUGCCCUAAACACGAUAAUUACCAGUUGUUGUUGUUCUUCCCACGCCCAGUUGAGCGUCGGCGUCGGGACAGGAUCAACGAGCUCAUCAAGGUACUGGCUCAGAUAGUGCCUGCUUUUCAGAAGAAAGACGCAACUACUGGUUCCAUUGUCGGGUAUGUGUACAGCAAGGGAACGGUACUGGACAAGACAGUGGACUACUUGAAAGAGCUCGUGUUUCAAAAUGAACAACUCACAGCCAGUGCCAAAAUCGCAGAGAAAUCUUUAGCAAUGCUUCAAAACCAGAUCCAAGUCCUAGAGAAAGAGAACGCAUUUCUUCAAGCACAGAUUAUCCAGUUUGGAAUUGAUGUAGCUGCCUCCUCUGGUCAGAAGCAACCUAACCAGCAACUUCUAAACUCUCCUCUGGCCCAGAAUCUCCCCUUCACUUACUAUAGCUAUACAUUGUCAGUAUUAUUAUGUAUACCACACAUAGUUUUUAUACAUGAUAUUUGUCUUAUUGAACCUGAGCAUAAUAAAAUGUUGUGAACAAAGCUACGCCCCUCCAUCUCAAGCCGCACUUCCUCGAAAAUUGGCCUGGUAGUAUACGCUGCUUGUGCAUGCGCUAACCAUAAUUAUGCUACUGAACAUGAAAACUGUGCUGAUGAAGAACCUUCAUCAAGAACAAGAACACUGACUCAGGACGAGGAGGACUUUGACAAGUUCCUGGAGAGUGCCAAAGCUCAGCAGCUCUCACCCUCCACAAUUAAAAGUUCCCGAGCCCCACCCCUCACUGUCUGACUUGAAAGAGGAGAUAGACUUUGGAUUCUGGGAGAAGGCGUCCACCCUACCCUCGGACAAGACCCCAACCAAGGACCUGAACUUGUUAUGAGACUGUUAAUAUUAUUUUGUCUGUUUUUGUACUAUUUUCUGGCAAUGUAAUUAUGUAUGUACCACUUCAUGUCAUCAUAAUAACUAUAAUUAAAAGUCUGUUGCA